rnacentral:rRNA from 1 species
UACGUAGGGUGCAAGCGUUACUCGGAAUUACUGGGCGUAAAGCGUGCGCAGGCGGUAAUGUAAGACAGUUGUGAAAUUCCCGGGCUCAACCUGGGAACUGCAUCUGUGACUGCAUUGCUGGAGUACGGCAGAGGGGGAUGGAAUUCCGCGUGUAGCAGUGAAAUGCGUAGAUAUGCGGAGGAACACCGAUGGCGAAGGCAAUCCCCUGGGCCUGUACUGACGCUCAUGCACGAAAGCGUGGGGAGCAAACAGG